GACGAACCGUGCGAACGUUGUUCGGAAUCACUGGGCUUAAAGGGCGCGUAGGCGGACCAUCAAGUCAGGGGUGAAAUACUUCGGCUUAACCCGGAAAGGUCAACUGAUACUGUGCGACUAGAGUGCGGAAGGGGCAACUGGAAUUCUCGGUGUAGCGGUGAAAUGCGUAGAUAUCGUAAGGAAGACCAGUGGCGAAGGCGGGUCUCUGGACAGUUCCUGACGCUGAGGCACGAAGGCCAGGGGAGCAAACGGG
rnacentral:rRNA from 1 species